rnacentral:snoRNA from 1 species
CCCAUUGGAGAUGAAGAAUUGGUCUCCUACAUCCUGGCCGGUCUUGACAUUGAGUUCAAUCCCUUGGUGUCGGUCAUGGUUGCACGAGUCGAGCCAAUC